ACACAUGCAGUCGAACGAUGACUAUCUAGCUUGCUAGAUAUGAUUAGUGGCGAACGGGUGAGUAAUGCUUAGGAAUCUGCCUAUUAGUGGGGGAUAACCAUCCGAAAGGAUGGCUAAUACCGCAUACGUCUUACGAGAGAAAGGGGGCUUUUAGCUCUCGCUAAUAGAUGAGCCUAAGUCGGAUUAGCUAGUUGGUGGGGUAAAGGCCUACCAAGGCGACGAUCUGUAGCUGGUCUGAGAGGAUGAUCAGCCACACUGGGACUGAGACACGGCCCAGACUCCUACGGGAGGCAGCAGUGGGGAAUAUUGGACAAUGGGCGAAAGCCUGAUCCAGCCAUGCCGCGUGUGUGAAGAAGGCCUUUUGGUUGUAAAGCACUUUAAGUAGGGAGGAAAAGCUUGUGGUUAAUACCCACAAGCCCUGACGUUACCUACAGAAUAAGCACCGGCUAACUCUGUGCCAGCAGCCGCGGUAAUACAGAGGGUGCAACCGCAAAACGGAUUCUGGGCGUAAGCGAGCGUAGGUGGUCAUUUAAGUCAGAUGUGAAAGCCCCGGGCUUAACCUGGGAACUGCAUCUGAUACUGGGUGACUAGAGUAGGUGAGAGGGAAGUAGAAUUCCAGGUGUAGCGGUGAAAUGCGUAGAGAUCUGGAGGAAUACCGAUGGCGAAGGCAGCUUCCUGGCAUCAUACUGACACUGAGGUUCGAAAGCGUGGGUAGCAAACAGGAUUAGAUACCCUGGUAGUCCACGCCGUAAACGAUGUCUACCAGUCGUUGGGUCUUUUAAAGACUUAGUGACGCAGUUAACGCAAUAAGUAGACCGCCUGGGGAGUACGGCCGCAAGGUUAAAACUCAAAUGAAUUGACGGGGGCCCGCACAAGCGGUGGAGCAUGUGGUUUAAUUCGAUGCAACGCGAAGAACCUUACCUGGUCUUGACAUAGUAGGAAUCCUGCAGAGAUGCGGGAGUGCCUUCGGGAAUCUACAUACAGGUGCUGCAUGGCUGUCGUCAGCUCGUGUCGUGAGAUGUUGGGUUAAGUCCCGCAACGAGCGCAACCCUUUUCCUUAGUUACCAGCGAUUCGGUCGGGAACUCUAAGGAUACUGCCAGUGACAAACUGGAGGAAGGCGGGGACGACGUCAAGUCAUCAUGGCCCUUACGACCAGGGCUACACACGUGCUACAAUGGUUGGUACAAAGGGUUGCUACACAGCGAUGUGAUGCUAAUCUCAAAAAGCCAAUCGUAGUCCGGAUUAGAGUCUGCAACUCGACUCUAUGAAGUCGGAAUCGCUAGUAAUCGCAGAUCAGAAUGCUGCGGUGAAUACGUUCCCGGGCCUUGUACACACCGCCCGUCACAUCAUGGGAGUUGAUCUCACCAGAAGUGGG
rnacentral:rRNA from 1 species